GGGGUUGUGGCUCAGUGGUAGAGUGCUUGCUUUGCAUGCAUGGGGCACUGAGUUCAAUCCUCAGCACCA
rnacentral:tRNA from 1 species